ensembl:lncRNA
GGGGCUGGAUGCGACUCCCUCAGAGCUGCCCUCUCUGCCCUUUGACUUGGGGGAGCUUCUGAAUGUCUCUCUGGAGACCUCUUAAUCUAGUCUGGAAUAGCACAAAGAUUAUACCGGAGAUAAUUUGGUGCUGCAAUUAAUGAUGUAGAAUAUAUUUUUUUUAUUUUUAUUUUUUUUCCCAGGUAGGGAGCAUUUGACUUUAGCAGGACUAAUAAUCUGGAGGAGUGUUUCUUCUUAAAAGUGGUCUUGUUUAAAUAAGCUGUGUUUGACAGAGAAGGCUACAGUGUACUCCCAUGCGUUCCCCAAGACUGCACAAGGAUGUCAGUGUUAUUUUCACUUUCUCUUGUUAGGUAUGUUUCAAGGAGUCACAAGCAUUAACAACUCCUUUGCUUUAAGAGCCCUGGCAAGGAUUUCUGCUUCUCUCCCACUCCCAUACCUUUAAUCAUUAGGCCCUGGGAGGACUAUAAACCACUAAUGCUGCACUAAUAUGACAAAUUGAUAGUAUCCCUGCGUUACCUAUGACAGAGAGAGAAGACAACAUGGUGUACUGACUAGUGGAAUACUUAGCUAUGUUGACAUCAUCUGUACUAACUAGAUUGAGGAAAGGGACAUUUUCAGUAAAGGUAGAGACAACUCUGAGGUAUGCAAAGAAGAGCAAAAAGAAAGGGAAUAAAGCUCACAGAUUGUACAAGCUUGCUGAGCUUUUAAACAUAGGAAAUAAUACAUUUCUAAUGGCUAGUUUCAACAAAAUAAAAUGUUGGAUGCGUGUCAGAAAUAUGCUUGUAUUUUUUCCUAGAGAUAAGGACUCUGCCAGAAACUUAACCAAAAAUAUUUCACUUUUUGUCUAUUGUUUUGAACUCUUACAUACUAUAUUCAGACCAGGAAGGUCAUCCAUAAGCAGUGGAGCACUUGUCAUUGCUGUUAAAUAGUAACAUGUACUGGGAAAGAUGCUUUAUCUGGAUUAUUAGAAUACUAACUAAAACUGGACUGUUCUUUCUUUAUCUGUUUAAGAGUCAUAAAAUCUUCCGUCAGAUAUAUAAAUUACUAAAUCUCU